AUCACACCUCCGAACACCUCUACGAGAGGUCCCAUAGAACCCGCUUUAAGCACGACACGAGACCCAAGAGCUUGGGGCUGAGUGACACGUACCCUCUCUUCGCCAAGCCACCGAGUUAUGAAAGCCACCUAAAGUUCAAAGUGAACGUGACUGACAGCCCAACGAUCUCAAUCACACCGCCCCACAGUUUGGACUACGCCCCCAAAGCGGGGUGGGGCAGCCCCAACGGCAGCGCGACCCCCAACGGGAUGGUCUCCAGCCGGUCGGGGGCCACCACCGUCCUCCUGAGCCCUGGCUACCUGCAGGGCCCUUGCCAAUGUAACGCGUCUAUAAAGAGCGUAAGUGAAGUAGCGUUAGCCAUGCCAGUGUCAGCAGGGUGGACCGACGAGUCGCCGGCGACGGGCCCAUCCGAUGGCCUGUCGUGGAGGCGGCUGCACAUGUCGCGAGCCAAGCUGAAAGCUACGGCCACCACCUCCGAACUGCUAUCAGGCUUCGCCAUGGUAGCAAUGGUGGAACUCCAAAUCAACGAGCCGACGAACGUGCCAGAAUGGCUCUUCGUAAUGUUCGCUGUCUGCACCACCGUGCUGGUCGCAGUCCAUAUCUUUGCACUCAUGAUCUCCACCUACCUCCUGCCGAAUAUCGACGCGGUGAGCAAGAUGGAGACUCCUGGUGGCCCGGCGAGAGCCCUGAGGGACUCCCCUCACGAACGCAUGAGAGGCUUCAUAGAGCUCGCGUGGGCAUUUAGUACAGUUCUUGGUCUAUUCCUGUUCCUGGUGGAGAUUGCGAUCUUGUGCUGGGUGAAGUUUUGGGACUACUCAUUCGCGGCCGCUACGGCUGCCACCGUCAUCGUUAUACCAGUGCUAAUCGUCUUCGUAGCGUUUGCAAUACAUUUCUACCACUCACUCGUAGUGCAGAAAUGCGAGACGUCAGUCCAGGACAUCGAACAGCUGGAAAGCAUGAAGCGAGACCUGGACACGGCUACCGUUAAGGUCAACAUGUUUUAGGAGUUUUAUUACCUAGGACUAGGACAUAAGAACUAUCUGUGGAGAAAACAAAACCUUGCGGAGACACUGAAACCUGUAGGAUCUAAACAGUUGGUCAGGAAUUGUAGCAUACAGUUCAAAGGCAAAACAAAAACCUAACGCAACAGUGACACAGAUGAUAUAAAAUUACAAAUAAAAAAAUCUCAAGAGUAACACUCAAAAUGUAAAGUGUCACGAAUAUUUUGUAAUCUAAAUUAAGACGAUGGAUCUAAAAAUCACAACGACUCGAAUCGAAUUAAAUAAAAUGGAUUUCAAAUCCGUUAUUGAUAUUUUAGUUGGUAAGUAAAGCGCGCUUUUUGGGUCUAGUUUCAAAGAUAUUGAAUACCAUAAGUGUAACUGGGGUAUUCAAUAUUGUUGCUACUUUUACUGUUUCUUCCAUGGAAAGUGAUAUUGUGAUUCAUUUUAGGUAUAAUUACUGCAGGCAGCUAGUUAGUAAAUCGUAAUUUUGUUAGUCUCAAAGAUGUGUUAAUUAAUUUAUGUAAAUAAAAUAAUAUUGUUAUCUUUUAGUUAAACUUAUGUAAAAGACAAACGAAUAACUCAAAAAUAUCAUGGUCACUGAAUUGAUAUGUCACAUUAUAAAUUUUUUAUAAUUAUCUUAUUCUGAAAAUGUAAGAGAUUUUAUACUUUGUACAACGAUCAUGUGGUUGACUAGACUACGGAUUUUUGCUAAUUUAAACAAUUGCCUUAUGGUUAAUUUUAUUCUUUAACAUGGAAUUGAAAUUAGAUUAAAUAUUAAUUUAUGUACUUAGAUAUUGUGAACGUUUAUGUACUCAGUAUUUAUUAUUAUUUAAAACAAUUUCAAAAUGGUGCAAAAUUUCUUAGACGUAAGUUAUAUAGGGUGCUAUAAAACACAAAAAAUAGUACAAUAAAAACAGAAUAAAAUUGAAAAAGUGGAUCUGAAAAUGUGUAAAAUUCCAGGUCACCAAAGAGUCUUCCAAAAUAUUGAUUUUUUCCAUAUUAAAAGACUGCGUUAGGGCUUUUAAUUUCAGUUCUAGUUUCUUUUAAGAAAAUAAAUUAAUACAAUAAACUUAAAUUAGGUAAUUCAUAAUGUGCUUACCUAAAUGGUGUAGCGAUUUAUUCUGCUAUUCUACGACGAAGUGAGGUGAGAUCACUGCGUACGCGCACGCUUUUCGGAACCAAAAUUCGCUUAAGAAAAGUAAGAAAUAGUACACACAAGUCAAUUAUACCUUCUUUACCAGAUUUUGCGGUAAAGACAAGAUUUGACGUCACUAGUUCGCGAAUCGCGAAAUUUUUGUCUUAUUUCUAUUGAUGAUUAAUUGUGUCAACUACCACCCCGCGGGUAGAUGGCGAUGGAGUGUAAAAUAACUCUUAUGAAGGACUAAACAAGAUCGAUAUUGUGAUAUUUUGGAAACAUGAUAUUUUAAAAUGUGAGUAAAAUAAGUUUAAUUCUACAGAAGUUAUCGCUAGCGGCGAUGAUGACAAUGUAUUAAUUUAUAUCAUAGUAUGUAUACCUAGUUAGUUAUUCUGACCCAUGUGUUGUAAUAGUUAAAUAAAAGAUGAUAAUGUAAUUU